GAACGCUGGCGGAAUGCUUUACACAUGCAAGUCGAACGGCAGCACGGGGGCAACCCUGGUGGCGAGUGGCGAACGGGUGAGUAAUAUAUCGGAACGUGCCCAGUCGUGGGGGAUAACGUAGCGAAAGUUACGCUAAUACCGCAUACGAUCUACGGAUGAAAGCGGGGGAUCGCAAGACCUCGCGCGAUUGGAGCGGCCGAUAUCAGAUUAGGUAGUUGGUGGGGUAAAGGCUCACCAAGCCAACGAUCUGUAGCUGGUCUGAGAGGACGACCAGCCACACUGGGACUGAGACACGGCCCAGACUCCUACGGGAGGCAGCAGUGGGGAAUUUUGGACAAUGGACGCAAGUCUGAUCCAGCCAUUCCGCGUGCAGGACGAAGGCCUUCGGGUUGUAAACUGCUUUUGUACGGAACGAAAAAGCUCUUACUAAUACUAGGAGUCCAUGACGGUACCGUAAGAAUAAGCACCGGCUAACUACGUGCCAGCAGCCGCGGUAAUACGUAGGGUGCGAGCGUUAAUCGGAAUUACUGGGCGUAAAGCGUGCGCAGGCGGUUAUAUAAGACAGAUGUGAAAUCCCCGGGCUCAACCUGGGAACUGCAUUUGUGACUGUAUAGCUAGAGUGCGGCAGAGGGGGAUGGAAUUCCGCGUGUAGCAGUGAAAUGCGUAGAUAUGCGGAGGAACACCGAUGGCGAAGGCAAUCCCC
rnacentral:rRNA from 1 species